rnacentral:rRNA from 1 species
CUACGGGUUGCUCCAGUGGGGAAUAUUGGGCAAUGGGCGCAAGCCUGACCCAGCAACGCCGCGUGAGGGAAGAAUGUGUGUGGAUUGUAAACCUCUGUCCUUGGGGACGAAAAAAAUGACGGUACCCAAGGAGGAAGCUCCGGCUAACUACGUGCCAGCAGCCGCGGUAAUACGUAGGGAGCAAGCGUUGUCCGGAAUUAUUGGGCGUAAAGGGUGCGUAGGCGGCGCUGUAAGUCAGAUGUGAAAUCCCCGGGCUUAACUCGGGAGUUGCAUUUGAAACUACAGUGCUUGAGUAAAGAAGGGGUAAGUGGAAUUCCUAGUGUAGCGGUGGAAUGCGUAGAUAUUAGGAGGAACACCAGUGGCGAAGGCGACUUACUGGUCUUUUACUGACGCUGAGGCACGAAAGCGUGGGGAGCAAACAGGAUUAGAUACCCUGGUAGUC